UACAGAGGGGGCAAGCGUUGUUCGGAAUUACUGGGCGUAAAGGGCGCGUAGGCGGCCCGCUAAGUCGAACGUGAAAUCCCCGGGCUCAACCCGGGAACUGCGUCCGAUACUGGCAGGCUUGAAUCCGGGAGAGGGAUGCGGAAUUCCAGGUGUAGCGGUGAAAUGCGUAGAUAUCUGGAGGAACACCGGUGGCGAAGGCGGCAUCCUGGACCGAGAUUGACGCUGAGGCGCGAAAGCGUGGGGAGCAAACAGG
rnacentral:rRNA from 1 species